ACUUCUGUUUUAGCUUUGGGAUGAUGGUC
rnacentral:piRNA from 2 species